rnacentral:rRNA from 1 species
GAUGAACGCUGGCGGCGCGCCUAAUACAUGCAAGUCGAGCGAACAGACGAGCAGCUUGCUCCUCUGACGUUAGCGGCGGACGGGUGAGUAACACGUGAAUAACCUCCCUAUAAGACUGGGAUAACUUCGGGAAACCGGAGCUAAUACCGGAUAAUAUCUUGAACAGCAUGGUCCAAUAGUGAAAGACGGUUUUGCUGUCACUUAUAGAUGGAUCCGCGCCGCAUUAGCUAGUUGGUAAGGUAACGGCUUACCAAGGCAACGAUGCGUAGCCGACCUGAGAGGGUGAUAGCCCGCACUGGAACUGAGCCACGGACCAGAGUACUACGGGAGGCAGCAGUAGGGAAUGUGAGGCAAUGGGCGAAAGCCUGACGGAGCAACGCCGCGUGAGUGAUGAAGGUCUUCGGAUCGUAAAACUCUGUUAUUAGGGAAGAACAAAUGUGUAAGUAACUAUGCACGUCUUGACGGUACCUAAACAGAAAGCCACGGCUAACUACGUG